rnacentral:rRNA from 1 species
CACGUAGGGGGCAAGCGUUGUCCGGAUUUAUUGGGCGUAAAGAGCUCGUAGGCGGUUCGGUAAGUCGGGUGUGAAACCUCCAGGCUCAACCUGGAGACGCCACCCGAUACUGCUGUGACUAGAGUCCGGUAGGGGAGCGUGGAAUUCCUGGUGUAGCGGUGAAAUGCGCAGAUAUCAGGAGGAACACCAGCGGCGAAGGCGGCGUUCUGGACUGUUUCUGACACUGAAUAACGAAAGCCAGGGGAGCAAACGGG